AACAUCGGACAAAAAAAUUGUGUGCAAUUUCUUGCCAAGCCGUUACAGCAUUUUAUAUUUAAGAAAUCCUGUACAGGUUUUGCAAUAAAAUUGUGCACGAACAUUCAUCACUUGCACC
rnacentral:precursor_RNA from 15 species